UACGGAGGGAGCUAGCGUUGUUCGGAAUUACUGGGCGUAAAGCGCACGUAGGCGGCUAUUCAAGUCGGGGGUGAAAUCCUGGAGCCCAACUCCAGAACUGCCUUCGAUACUGGAGAGCUCGAGUCCGGGAGAGGUGAGUGGAACUGCGAGUGUAGAGGUGAAAUUCGUAGAUAUUCGCAAGAACACCAGUGGCGAAGGCGGCUCACUGGCCCGGUACUGACGCUGAGGUGCGAAAGCGUGGGGAGCAAACAGG
rnacentral:rRNA from 1 species